UGCCAGCAGCCGCGGUAAUACGGAGGGGGUUAGCGUUGUUCGGAAUUACUGGGCGUAAAGCGCACGUAGGCGGAUUAGUAAGUUAGGGGUGAAAUCCCGGAGCUCAACUCCGGAACUGCCUUCAAUACUUCCAGUCUAGAAUCUGUAAGGGGGUGGUGGAAUUCCGAGUGUAGAGGUGAAAUUCGUGGAUAUUCGGAGGAACACCAGUGGCGAAGGCGACCACCUGGUACAGUAUUGACGCUGAGAUGCGAAAGCGUGGGGAGCAAACAGGAUUAGAUA
rnacentral:rRNA from 1 species